UUGUACCGUUUUUUUCUUAUGUUUGAUCCUUGGUUUGAAUAAUAAGGAUCCAAACCAAGGAUCAAACAUAAGAAAAAAAACGGUACAA
rfam:Cyphomyrmex costatus contig12658, whole genome shotgun sequence.